rnacentral:tRNA from 1 species
GCGAGUGUAGUGUAGUGGUUAUCACCCGACGUUGCCAACGUCGGAACCCGGGUUCAAAUCCCGGC